rnacentral:rRNA from 1 species
UACGUAGGGGGCAAGCGUUGUCCGGAUUCAUUGGGCGUAGAGCGCGCAGGCGGUCGUUCAAGUCGAGUGUGAAAGCCCCCGGCUCAACUGGGGAGGGUCACUCGAUACUGAUCGACUUGAAGGCAGGAGAGGGAAGCGGAAUUCCCGGUGUAGUGGUGAAAUGCGUAGAUAUCGGGAGGAACACCAGUGGCGAAGGCGGCUUCCUGGCCUGUUCUUGACGCUGAGGCGCGAAAGCUAGGGGAGCAAACGGG